rnacentral:rRNA from 1 species
GAUGAACGCUGGCGGCGUGCCUAAUACAUGCAAGUCGAGCGAACAGACGAGGAGCUUGCUUCUCUGAUGUUAGCGGCGGACGGGUGAGUAACACGUGGAUAACCUACCUAUAAGACUGGGAUAACUUCGGGAAACCGGAGCUAAUACCGGAUAAUAUUUUGAACCGCAUGGGUCAAUAGUGAAAGACGGUCUUGCUGUCACUUCUAGAUGGAUCCGCGCUGCAUUAGCUAGUUGGUAAGGUAACGGCUUACCAAGGCAACGAUGCAUAGCCGACCUGAGAGGGUGAUCGGCCACACUGGAACUGAGACACGGUCCAGACUCCUACGGGAGGCAGCAGUAGGGAAUCUUCCGCAAUGGGCGAAAGCCUGACGGAGCAACGCCGCGUGAGUGAUGAAGGUCUUCGGAUCGUAAAACUCUGUUAUUAGGGAAGAACAUAUGUGUAAGUAACUGUGCACAUCUUGACGGUACCUAAUCAGAAAGCCACGGCUAACUACGUG